GUUUAGGGUGUUUUUUUUGUAAAUUUCAAACUUUUUAGGGAGUUUGAAAUUCCAAAAUUUCGAUUAAGUAUUUGACGGUGGCUUCAUAAAACGACCGCAUUGUGCAAGCAAAUAUAGUAUAAGGGGGAAAAAUAGGCAAAUUAAUCAUCGAGAAAGGAACUUGGGUUUAAGGGGGAGUUAGUCAUUUUGUCCUUUUACUAAUUAAAAACCAACUUGUAAUGACCAUGGAACGUCAAAUUUUAAUUGUCCACUUCUUUGCUUCUCCUUUUUCUUUCCUUCUCGUUAACUACAUCUUUUCAAGGUGAAAGUCUUAACUUUGAUCUCUCUGCAUUCCCAUUUCCUUCCUGAAAUGAAAUGCUACAAUUUAUUUGUCCAGUUUGUUAUUGUUUCGGCAAAAGGAACUGAGCAGCUAGUACAUAUAUCUCAGGAAUCCUCAAAAGGAGAUGCAUGUAAUGUUUUUGCAGGCAGAGCCUAUGUUCAAAGUUGUGACAGAAGCAUUUAGAGUAGAGAUGGGAAGAAUGUAGCAUCCUCUGGAUUAAACUUUAGAAUGCACACAGGAGCUACAAGAGAAUUUAUGGUUCUCCGUGUAACUCCUAGGGACCCAAAGAUCAAUAGCAUCUCUACGGCAACCAUUUUCUCAAGGACCUUCCUUGGAGGGCAAGCUCUUUUCUUUCUGGUUAUUUUAUUUGUACACAGCCUGCUAAUUUCAAUGGCCUCUCAUGAUCAGAUCUGCCAAUCUUAGGGAAGGAAAAUAAGUGAAAUAGCAGCCACUAUAUUAUAAUGGCAUUAUUUUUCAUAGAGUCGAUGAAAAAUAAGUGAUGACUGUGAUAUUUUUGGUAGUAGAUUUUAUUCUCCUUCUACAUUUGCGUAGUCAACAUUAUUAUAGGGUUACUGUCAUGUUUAUUAAAUUGAAGAUUCCAUGACAAAGCUUAGACAGUGAUAUGUGGAUCUUCUGCAUAUUAUAUAUGCUUAAGGUUUUGUUUU